rfam:Mesocricetus auratus contig197540, whole genome shotgun sequence.
GGGUCAAUGAUGAAAACAAGUCUCUGAGGACAGUGAUCGACUCGUGACUAUGCCAAUCUGAGCUCC